GAGAGUACCCACCACAAGAUUGUCACAGUCGCAGAAGGACUGAGUGUUCCUGGCGGCGCAGCAAACCUCCCGCGUCGGAUUCACGAGAGUAACGCCUGUGGAGCCCGCCAGCGUUGUUCGGCUGCCGGUAAACAUCCACUAUGAUAUUAAAAAGCCACGCCACGGCUUCAACCAUGGAUUCGUCGAUGGUGCUGACUGUGGAGGGAGGGAAGAGACUGAGAAGAGAGCGAAGACAUAACGGAGUGGAGACUAAGGAAGGAAAGAAGCGAGUAAAGGGAACAAGGAAAGUGACGAACGAGUACUUGUAAGAGGAGACGAAAGACAGACAGUUGCGUCCCUGCCAAGUCUGCACCAUCCGUAUCAUCCUUAUCUAACACGGAUACACGCAAAGCAGAGAAUCACUUACUGAGUGUGAGCUGCGCCGUUGUCCUCUGCGCCAGGAACAUCAUCAGCAUCACCAAAUUCCACCAAAGACAAUGAAUGAGAAGACAAUUUGCAGAAGUGAUGGAGCCUAAACAGUUUCGUGUUCAGACCGCAGCCGCUGACGCUGUUGUAUGUCCGUCAUCCAGCUGUUGGUCGUGGAAGAGCAUAAAUUGGAGGUGGGAGGGCAUGCAUGGACUUCAAAAAAGUAAAAUCAAUAUGCUCAUAAAUAUGCACACCCAUUCGGCUGUAGCUUGGCCUGAUCAAUAUCUCCUCGAGAAAGAAACCGAAAAGACCUGAGUAUAAAAUAAAUGCCUAAAUGACUAAGUUACCGUGCGUAGCCAAAUUGCUUCAUGUUAACAUUAUGCUCGUCAUCGUUCAAAAGUCGCUUGAACAUAUUUGGAAGUACAGCCGUUGUAGUCUCUCGGUUUAACACGACUUUCGCGGUACUAUGUUGGCUAAAUGAUGGGUAUAGAUUAAUUCCACACACUGCUUGCCCUUAUCAAUCAAUUUUAUCAUUAUUAUACUUCACUUACGUUGCAGUAAUGUCAGCUGGAUUGAAAUAAAGUCUCACCACAUAUGAUUCAACAAAGAGAGAGAGAGAGAGAGAGAGAGAGAGAGAGAGAGAGAGAGAGAGAGAGAGAGAGAGAGAGAGAGAGAGAGAGAGAGAGAAACAGCUGAGUGGUGAAACUCAUGAAACAUAAUUAUAAUUUUUGAAUGGAAGACUGUUUACAUCGUUCAUCGUAACAAUCUACAGGACCGCCAAGUGCGUCAUUAUACGCCACUGAUCACACAAAUAUUCGUCGCGGCUGUGGAGAAACAAAGACUCAUUGAUCGUGCCCGCACCUGAUGAGCCAAGCCUAGGAACAGUGACAUCAUCAAUCCCAGACUGAGACUGUAGAACCUUAAUAUGUUUGGCCCACCCAUGAAGAAGAAUUACGCAUCCACUCUGCCUGGACCGAAAGUGGCGGGCACUGUCACAAGCCACACUUCCUGGCAGAGAAUCACCUUUGAGGGAGAAAGGCGUGGUCGAGCAGCGCUAAGAGGCCAGAUUUGGUUAUUGGGAACAGUGUGAAUCUCCCUCCGCUAUGGAUCUAUUUAGUCAUCAUGAGUCAAUGGAUCCCGGCCUUCAUGUUAUCUGAUAAAUGAGUGAUCUGUGUA